rnacentral:rRNA from 1 species
CACGUAGGCACCAAGCGUUGUCCGGAUUUAUUGGGCGUAAAGAGCUCGUAGGCGGUUCGGUAAGUCGGGUGUGAAAACUUUGGGCUCAACCCAAAGCGUGCACUCGAUACUGCCAUGACUAGAGUUCGGUAGGGGAGUGGGGAAUUCCUAGUGUAGCGGUGAAAUGCGCAGAUAUUAGGAGGAACACCGGUGGCGAAGGCGCGACUCUGGGCCGAAACUGACGCUGAGGAGCGAAAGCGUGGGGAGCGAACAGG